UACGAAGGGGGCUAGCGUUGCUCGGAAUCACUGGGCGUAAGGGUGCGUAGGCGGGUCUUUAAGUCAGGGGUGAAUCCUGGAGCUCAACUCCAGAACUGCCUUUGAUACUGAAGAUCUUGAGUUCGGGAGAGGUGAGUGGAACUGCGAGUGUAGAGGUGAAAUUCGUAGAUAUUCGCAAGAACACCAGUGGCGAAGGCGGCUCACUGGCCCGAUACUGACGCUGAGGCACGAAGCGUGGGAGCAACAGGG
rnacentral:rRNA from 1 species